rnacentral:rRNA from 1 species
CCUACGGGAGGCUGCAGUGGGGAAUAUUGCACAAUGGGGGAAACCCUGAUGCAGCGACGCCGCGUGAGCGAUGAAGUAUUUCGGUAUGUAAAGCUCUAUCAGCAGGGAAGAAAAUGACGGUACCUGACUAAGAAGCCCCGGCUAACUACGUGCCAGCAGCCGCGGUAAUACGUAGGGGGCAAGCGUUAUCCGGAUUUAUUGGGUUUAAAGGGUGCGUAGGCGGGCUGUUAAGUCAGCGGUCAAAUGUCGGGGCUCAACCCCGGCCUGUCGUUGAAACUGGCGGCCUCGAGUGGGGGAGAAGUAUGCGGAAUGCGUGGUGUAGCGGUGAAAUGCAUAGAUAUCACGAAGAACUCCGAUUGCGAAGGCAGCAUACCGGCGCCCGACUGACGCUGAGGCACGAAAGCGUGGGUAUCGAACAGGAUUAGAUACCCGGGUAGUC